rnacentral:rRNA from 1 species
AGUGAACGCUGGCGGUAGGCCUAACACAUGCAAGUCGAACGGCAGCACAGUAAGAGCUUGCUCUUACGGGUGGCGAGUGGCGGACGGGUGAGGAAUACAUCGGAAUCUACUUUUUCGUGGGGGAUAACGUAGGGAAACUUACGCUAAUACCGCAUACGACCUACGGGUGAAAGCAGGGGAUCUUCGGACCUUGCGCGAUUGAAUGAGCCGAUGUCGGAUUAGCUAGUUGGCGGGGUAAAGGCCCACCAAGGCGACGAUCCGUAGCUGGUCUGAGAGGAUGGUCAGCCGCACUGGAACUGAGACACGGUCCAGACUCCUAAGGGAGGCAGCAGUGGGGAAUAUUGGACAAUGGGCGCAAGCCUGAUCCAGCCAUACCGCGUGGGUGAAGAAGGCCUUCGGGUUGUAAAGCCCUUUUGUUGGGAAAGAAAAGCAGCAGGUUAAUACCCCGCUGUUCUGACGGUACCCAAAGAAUAAGCACCGGCUAACUUCGUG